UGGGGAAUAUUGCACAAUGGGCGCAAGCCUGAUGCAGCCAUGCCGCGUGUGUGAAGAAGGCCUUCGGGUUGUAAAGCACUUUCAGCGAGGAGGAAGGUGGUGAGCUUAAUACGCUCAUCAAUUGACGUUACUCGCAGAAGAAGCACCGGCUAACUCCGUGCCAGCAGCCGCGGUAAUACGGAGGGUGCAAGCGUUAAUCGGAAUUACUGGGCGUAAAGCGCACGCAGGCGGUUUGUUAAGUCAGAUGUGAAAUCCCCGGGCUCAACCUGGGAACUGCAUUUGAAACUGGCAAGCUAGAGUCUCGUAGAGGGGGGUAGAAUUCCAGGUGUAGCGGUGAAAUGCGUAGAGAUCUGGAGGAAUACCGGUGGCGAAGGCGGCCCCCUGGACGAAGACUGACGCUCAGGUGCGAAAGCGUGGGGAGCAAAACAGGAUUAGAUACCCUGGUAGUCCACGCUGUAAAACGAUGUCGAUUUUGGAGGUUGUGCCCUUGAGGCGUGGCUUCCGGAGUUAACGCGUUAAAUCGACCGCCUGGGGAGUACGGCCGCAAGGUUAAAACUCAAAGGAAUUGACGGGGUCAUAGCUG
rnacentral:rRNA from 1 species